UUUAUGGAGAGUUUGAUCCUGGCUCAGGAUGAACGCUGGCGGCGUGCCUAAUACAUGCAAGUCGAGCGAACGGACGAGAAGCUUGCUUCUCUGAUGUUAGCGGCGGACGGGUGAGUAACACGUGGAUAACCUACCUAUAAGACUGGGAUAACUUCGGGAAACCGGAGCUAAUACCGGAUAAUAUUUUGAACCGCAUGGUUCAAAAGUGAAAGACGGUCUUGCUGUCACUUAUAGAUGGAUCCGCGCUGCAUUAGCUAGUUGGUAAGGUAACGGCUUACCAAGGCAACGAUGCAUAGCCGACCUGAGAGGGUGAUCGGCCACACUGGAACUGAGACACGGUCCAGACUCCUACGGGAGGCAGCAGUAGGGAAUCUUCCGCAAUGGGCGAAAGCCUGACGGAGCAACGCCGCGUGAGUGAUGAAGGUCUUCGGAUCGUAAAACUCUGUUAUUAGGGAAGAACAUAUGUGUAAGUAACUGUGCACAUCUUGACGGUACCUAAUCAGAAAGCCACGGCUAACUACGUGCCAGCAGCCGCGGUAAUACGUAGGUGGCAAGCGUUAUCCGGAAUUAUUGGGCGUAAAGCGCGCGUAGGCGGUUUUUUAAGUCUGAUGUGAAAGCCCACGGCUCAACCGUGGAGGGUCAUUGGAAACUGGAAAACUUGAGUGCAGAAGAGGAAAGUGGAAUUCCAUGUGUAGCGGUGAAAUGCGCAGAGAUAUGGAGGAACACCAGUGGCGAAGGCGACUUUCUGGUCUGUAAC
rnacentral:rRNA from 1 species